rnacentral:rRNA from 1 species
GAUGAACGCUGGCGGCGUGCUUAACACAUGCAAGUCGAGCGAGUGAGUUCUUCGGAACGAUCUAGCGGCGGACGGGUGAGUAACACGUGGGCAACCUGCCUCAUAGAGGGGAAUAGCCUCCCGAAAGGGAGAUUAAUACCGCAUAAAAUUAUCGAGUGGCAUCACAUGAUAAUCAAAGGAGUAAUCCGCUAUGAGAUGGGCCCGCGGCGCAUUAGCUAGUUGGUGAGGUAACGGCUCACCAAGGCGACGAUGCGUAGCCGACCUGAGAGGGUGAUGGGCAACAUUGGGAAUGAGAAACGGCCAGACUCCUACGGGGGGCAGCAGUGGGGAAUAUUUGAAAAUGGGGGAAACCCUGAUGCAGCAACGCCGCGUGAGUGAUGAAGGUCUUCGGAUUGUAAAGCUCUGUCUUUGGGGACGAUAAUGACGGUACCCAAGGAGGAAGCCACGGCUAACUACGUGCCAGCCGCCGCCGUAA